UGGGGAAUCUUGGACAAUGGGGGCAACCCUGAUCCAGCCAUGCCGCGUGAGUGAUGAAGGCCUUAGGGUCGUAAAGCUCUUUCGCCUGUGAAGAUAAUGACGGUAGCAGGUAAAGAAACCCCGGCUAACUCCGUGCCAGCAGCCGCGGUAAUACGGAGGGGGUUAGCGUUGUUCGGAAUUACUGGGCGUAAAGCGCACGUAGGCGGACCAGAAAGUUGGGGGUGAAAUCCCGGGGGCUCAACCCCGGAACUGCCUCCAAAACUAUUGGUCUAGAGUUCGAGAGAGGUGAGUGGAAUUCCAAGUGUAGAGGUGAAAAUUCGUAGAUAUUUGGAGGAACACCAGUGGCGAAGGCGGCUCACUGGCUCGAUACUGACGCUGAGGUGCGAAAGUGUGGGGAGCAAACAGGAUUAGAUACCCUGGUAGUCCACACCGUAAAACGAUGAAUGCCAGUCGUCGGGUAGCAUGCUAUUCGGUG
rnacentral:rRNA from 1 species